CGCGGGUCGGCUUGGAAAGAGGGCGGCACCAUCACCCCUCGGAGUCAGCCCUUUGCUCGCGCGACUAGCACUGUGCCAAGCCUGCCCCUCGCUGACCCUAUCUUACCUCGCCCCGCGUCUCCCCAGGCCAGGUAUGUUGGGCAGUCGAGGGAGAAGAGCAGACCUUCCUCCGUCCUUCUUCCUUCACGGGGCAGAUGGUGUUGCGGUAGUAGCGGAAGCCAUGGAGGCCGCAGGAGGAAGGUGCCACCAGUUGUAGACACACACACCACCACCACCACAUCACCACCACCACCACCACAGCACCACCACCACCACCACCAUCACUUAGUUAGUCCUGCACUCCUUGGCUUUCCUACAGGAUGGGGAACAAGUUAUCCUGCUCCUGCGCCCCCCUCAUCAAGAAAACAGGAUAUCGCUAUGAAGACUCCCCUUGGAAUCCUGCGAGAAGGAGAGAUGGACACUUAUUGAGGUUAUGGGCGGAGGUGUUCCACGUGUCGUCGUCGGGGUCGGGCACGGUGAAAUGGCAGCAGGUGAGCGAGGACCUGGUGCCCGUCAACAUCACCUGCAUCCAGGACACCCCGGAGUGCGUGUUCCACAUCACCGCCUACAACUCACAGGUGGACAAGAUACUCGACGUGCGACUCAUACAGCCAGGCACCAGGAUCGGUCAGGCCUCGGAGUGUUUCGUGUACUGGAAGGACCCGGCCACCAGCGACACUUGGGGGCUCAAUUUCACCUCGCCCAUCGACGCCAAGCAGUUCCGAGAAUGUUGUUCUCCCUCCUUCAAGUUUUCACGCAAGGCAUCCUCCUCGUACUCCCUCAAGCUGGAGCCGGUGCGGGGGGGCGGGGGAGGGGGCGGGGGCGGGGGCAAGGUCAAGGGGAGGAGGAAGCCCGUGUCCACCCCGGCCUCCCCCAGCCGUGCACGCGAACCCCAGUGCACGUGUAUGACGGCUGAGCAGUACGCCAGACUACGUGCGCAGGACCCCAGAUACAGAGGACACGAGGCCGACGCCCCUGAGGGAGGGGAGAGCAGGGGUGCCAUGCCCCCGGAGACACACACGGGGGUCUACGAUAACCUGCCGCUGCUCUGGGCGUCCACGCUGCCGCGGACCCAGGGUGGCCGCGGCGUGGUGGAGGGCACCGCGGCGCGCCCCGCGGGGCACGGAGCCGUCGCCACGCAGGCCGCCGCCGCCGCCCCCACGCAGACUGCGGCGGGGGACAGCAUGGCGGCGCGGCGCGGCGGCGCGGACACCUACUCCACCAUGAAGCUGGGCCGGGACCCCCGCCAGCCGCCCUCCCACCACGCCUCCCACGCCUCGCUGCACCACAAGGCCGCCGCCGCCCCGCUCUCCCGCAAGGAGGAAGCUGCCGCCGCCUCCGCCGCCGCCACGGCUGCCUCGGCGGCGGCGGCGGGCGGCGGCGGCGGCCCCGAGGCGGGCGGGGGGGGCGGGGGCCGCGAGAGCCGCGCGGGGCCGGGGGGCCGCGCGGCGCGGCGGGAGCUGUCCUCCAAGAGCGUGGACUACUCGGAGAUGGACACGGUGCGGGAGGGCGACGCGCUGCGGCGGCGCGCGCGCUCCCGCAGCACGGACGACGUGACCAAAGGUGAAGACGCCGCGCUGGCCCUCGAUAGCAAUACUCUUAAGAAAAUGCUGCAGCCCAUGGCAGGCGGCGACUCCCCGACGGCCUCCCCGGAGCAGGCGUGGCCCCGCGGGGCGGCCCGGGGCGGGGCGCUCGACCAGUUCCUGCGGGGGGCCCUCGGCGGGGGGGCCCUCCAGGGGGGGGAACCCUCCGGCGGGUACGCCGACGGCUUCCAGUCCGAGGGUAACUCCGAUUUCGAGAACCCAGACGGCGCCCCUCGAUCGCCCACCUCCCAGCUGCUUCAGGAGUAUGAGAUGCAUCUGAGGAACACGCUGGCCAAGGGCAUGGACGCAGAGAGCUACUCCUUGCACACCUUCGAGGCGCUGCUGACCCAGAGCAUGGAGAACCUAGAAGCAAUACUAGAAGACAUAGCAGCAACCAGGAAACCACCACCACCACCACUACCACCACCAAGAUCAACACCACUACCACAACCACCACCAACCACCAAAGACGAACCAACAUCACCAACGUCACGGAAACGAAGACCAUCAAGGAACAUCAAUUCUGGCACGACAUCACGAGACUCCAUAGGCACCAGUGGGCCCUCCAGCGAUGCCUCCGUGAACUACAGUGGCACCCCGACCUGGCACUCACCCCCUCAGCACCCCCAGCCCCCCCAGCCGCCCCCCAGGACACAUAGCAAGAGGAAGAGGAGGCAGAGAAGAGGAAGACUGCUUAGGGAGAUCAGGAGGAUACAGAGGAGGUACACAGAGGAGUUGGCACCUGUUGGCACCCAUCUGGCACUGUCCCCUCGCACCUGUGGAAGCCUAGAGCGCGCGGGGGGCGUCAAGCCAGCGGCGAAACACAACCAGCAGUACUUGCUCUUGCAACAACAAAAACAGCAGCUGCAGCACUACCAGCAGAAGCUCAUACAGCAGCAACAGCAGCAACAACAACAACAGGAAUUGCAGCAACAACAACAACAGGAAAUGCAGCAGCAACAACAACAACAACAACCACAACAACCACAACCACAGCCACAGCAACCACAGCAGCCACAGCAGCAGAGACAGCAGCUGCAGCACCUCCAGCAGCAGCAGCAGCAGCAGUAUCAGCAGUACCAGCAGCCCCCCAUUAAAGUGCACCCCCCUGCUGACUCAGGCAAAAGGAACCUCAACAAGUACGGGACCCUGCCGGCCAGCGCUAGGGGCUCGGAGCGCUCCCUGCCGGCCGCCGCACUGAGAGACGACCGCGCGGACCACUCGGGGUACUACAGCGACAGGAACGACAACUACGGCAGCAGGCGGGACGUGUACGACCGCGGCUACAUGAGCGACCACGACAGGAGGUUCUACGACAGGCAGGACAGCAUCCGCUCCGGCUACAUGAGUGACCGGGAGCGCGGCUACAUGAGUGACCGUGACUCUCGGGGCUACGCCAGCGACAGGGACCGCUCCGGCUACAUGAGCGACGGCGAGCGAGGCUACAUGAGCGACAGGGAGCGGGGCUACAUGAGCGACAGGGAGCGAGGCGGCGUUGGCGGCGUAGUCAGCGGCGGCGGCGGCGCCGCCGGCGCCGGUGGCGCCGCAGUCACCGUCGGCUACAUGAGCAACCGCGACCUUGGCUACAUGAGCGACAGGGAACGCGGCUACAUGAGCGACAGGGAACGCGGCUACAUGAGCGACAGGGAGAGAGGCUACAUGAGCGACAGGGAACGCGGCUACAUGAACCACCGCGACAGGGAGCGCGGCUACAUGAGCGACAGGGACACACGCACCUACGCCAGCGAGAGGGAGCGGGGCUACGCCAGCGACAGGGGCGGCUACGGCAGCGACAGGGAGCGCGGCUACUCCAGCGACAGGGAGCACAGCGCCCUCGUGGCCCAGGCGUCCAUGGAGAGCGCCGACUCCCGCCUGUGCUACCUGACGUCCUCCGAGAUGUCCGACGAUGACCGCAUGUCCCUGACCACGGCCGUUAGCGAGGACGAGGACGGGGAGAGCGUGCACAACUCCCCCUACAAGGCACCGCGGGCCGGCACCACGGCGGCCUCCUUCAAUUGCACCGGCGCCGUCAGGAAGGCCGGUUUCCUCAGCGUCAAGAAAUGGUUGCUGAGGAAGAAGCACCAGAUUGAGUUGGCCAGGAAGCGCGGGUGGAAGGGGUACUGGGUCUGCCUCAAGGGGACAACGCUGCUCUUCUAUCCCUGUGACUCCCGCGAGGGGCGCUCCGUCGAGGCCGCGCCCAAGCACCUCAUCAUUGUGGACGGCGCCAUCAUGCAGCCGAUCCCGGAGCACCCGAAGAGGGACUAUAUAUUCUGCCUGUCCACGGCUUUCGGGGACGCCUACUUGUUCCAGGCCCCGUGUCAGGUGGAACUGGAGAACUGGGUCAACAGCAUCCAUAGCGCAUGUGCCGCCGCGUUCGCUCGGCACCGUGGCAAGACUGGCACCCUGCACUUGUUACAGGAGGAAAUCUUCAGGAUUGACCGGGCCAUAGAGUCGGACUCCAAGCUGAAGCACAUGGCGGAGCUGCAGCUGUCCGUGGUGAGCGAUGCGGAGAGCAAGCAGCAGAUCAUGGGCCAGAUCAUGCAGUGGGAGGAAAACCUGGAACGCCUUCAUUGCGAGCAGUUCCGCUUACGGUGCUACAUGGCUUCCCUGCAGACCGGCGAGCUGCCCAACCCUAAGGGCCUACUCACCCACGUCUCCCGCACCACCAAGACUGUACUCAACCGCCUGGGGGUGUUCACGGUGAGCAGCUUCCACGCCUAUAUCUGUGCGCGUAGCCCCUCGCUGCUCAACAACCUCCUGGCCGGCCGCGGGGCAACCAAGCGCAGAGCACCCAUGUUAUCUCGCAGCAACAGCGUGUCUCGGCGGAGCCUCCAGAUGCACCAGCAACUAGAGGGAGAGAAGCAGUAUAAGGUCAACCUCCCAGACAACCAGACGGUGAGCAUCAGCCUGAAGGACUCCAUGACGGUUGAAGAGUUCCUGGUUGCGGCGUGUGGGCGCAAGAACCUCUCCCCGAUGGAGCACUUCGUCAGGGUACGGAAGAGGCGGGAACUGGAGGAGACCAACUACUUCGUGCCGCACAGAACUGACCUCAUCGAGAACUACCUGGCGACACACGAGCUGGUGGAGAUCUGCGGGAAGAUUCUGUACCAGGUGGAGUUGUCUCGCUCGUCGCUGGAUCACAUGUGGGGCUUCAGCGUGGAGGCGGAGCUCAUCGAAAACUCCGAACGGCAAGAUGAACUGUGUUGCUACAUCUCACGCGUCGAGGAUAGGUCCACAGCCAUGCAGAACGGCAUCAUCAAAGGAGACGAAAUUAUGGUUAUCAACGGAGCCAUCGUGAGUGACCUGGACAUGAUGUAUAUUGAAAGCGUACUGCAGGAGGAGCUUGCCCUGUGUCUGAUGAUGAGGUCAUCCCGUACGGAGCCUCCUGACCUGGCCUCCCUGAUGAAGACCACAGAUGAGAUCAUUGAGUCGCUGGUCUGCCCACCCCCGCCCUCGGAGAUGUCGCUCAACGAGGAGAUGAUAUCCAGGAUGAUUGUUCCAGCCCCCUCCUGGAACAAAUCCCUCGGACCCGGUAAGGAGCCUGCUAGUCCUGAUGGGUUCCCUCCCCCUCCCUCAGACACAUCCGAGCGCUCCAAUGUCUCUUCUCUCGAGAUCGAAAGCUACCUCAAGAACUCCGAUCUGAGCGGGUACUGCCGGUCCCCCGUGGAGCGGCGCGGCAGCCCCACCGGGUCCGUGGCCUCGACGCAGAGCCAGAGCCAACUCACGCCCUCCAGACAGCUGAGUGACGGCGAGCGGCUCAAGAAGGUCAUCCUCGAACUGGUGGACACGGAGAAGACCUACGUCAAGCACCUCAACAACCUGCUGGAGAACUACCUGGAGCCCCUCAAGAGUGCGUCCUUCCUCAGUUCGGCGGAGGUCAACGCACUCUUCGGCAACAUUCGCGAGAUCGUGGCGUUCCAGCGGCUCUUCCUGCAGGCGCUCCAGGAGGCCCUCGACAUGGAGCCAGGAUUCCCCUCCUUCGACCACCCCUACGAGUUUAAGAACGUCCUCUUCUCCAUCGGCAGCGCCUUCCUCUACUACGCCAGCCAGUUCAAGUUAUACAGCUCCUUCUGCGCCUCACACUCCAAGGCACAGAAAGUCUUGCACCCGAGUGAGGGGAACCAAGCACUGCAGGAAUUCUUGGCCUCCCGUAACCCUCGCCAGCAGCACUCGGCCACGCUGGAGUCCUAUCUGAUCAAGCCCAUCCAGCGCAUCCUGAAGUAUCCUUUACUCCUGCAGCAGCUGAAGGCACUCACCACACCAGGCUCAGACGAACACCGCCACCUCCUGGAGGCGCUGAAGGUGAUGGAGAAGGUGGCCGAACAUAUUAAUGAGAUGCAGAGGAUUCAUGAGGAGUACGGAGCCAUCUUCGACCACCUGUUCCGCCAGCACCAGAAGUCUUGCAAACAGGUGACUGCAUAUGGGGAGGAGUGGCCGGUUGACCUCUCCCCGGGUGACCUCCUGUACUAUGGCGGGGUGGAGUGGCUCAACAUCUCGGACUUUUUGGGCAAGAUCAAGAAGGGGCUUGAACUCCACGCCAUGUGCUUCGUGUUCAAGACCGCCGUGGUGUUCCUCUGCAAAGAGAGACUCAGGCAGAAGAAGAAGCUCAUGGUGUCCGCCGGGGGGGCGCCGGGCAAGAGCAGCGCCUCGGAGGUGGAGAUCAUCCGCUACCAGGUGCUCAUCCCCGUGACGGAGGUUCAGGUGCGCGCCUCGUCAAUGAAGGACAUGGACUCACACUUUCUCUGGGAGCUCAUUCACCUCAAGAGUCAGCUCCAGAGACGCUCCGAGAAGGUCUACCACUUGUCGAAUAGCACUGCCGAGUUCCGCAAUGCUUUCCUCAAGACCAUUCGGCAGAUCAUCCGGGAGAGCGUGAGGAACAUGAGUAUCCCUGCCAACAAGCCUUCCUCCUCCUCCUCCUCCUCCUCCACCUCGGGCCUCACCUCCAAGGGCAACACCAACACCCUCCAGCCGGUCCGCUCUGCCGCUGCCAAGAAGAAAAGCAACGUGGUCCAGUCGGCCACUCUUCAAAGGCACUCCGCUGGCACCAUCGACUACGACAAUUUGGAAAGCUAUGACAAUGUGCCCGAGACCCAGCAGCUGCAGCACCACCACCAGGCCAGCACCAACAACAGCAACAACGGCAAUCAGCAACAACAACAACAGCAGCAGCAGCAACAACAACAACAACAGCAACAGCAACAGCAGCAGGCCGCGCACUAUGACCUCCACAACAAUAACUUCAGAACACGAAGCAAGACGGUUUCUGACGCGAUGGACGAACUCAGUGACUCCACCACGAAGAGCGACGGGGGGAAGGAGGAGGCUGGCACACGCUCGGAGGGGGAGGAGGAGGUGAUGGAGGGGAAGAAGAAGGCCACCCUGGGACGCACGCCGAACCACCUGUCCCUCUCCACCACCUCCACGCUCUCCACUGGCUCCACUGGGUCCAUGGCCAAGCUGAUUCAGGCCUCCAACCAGCCCUCGCAAUACCAGCCCACUCGCACGCUUGGCUCCCCCGUGUGGAAGCCCCGGGACGUGUUUGGGGGCGGCGGGGGUCGGGGUGAGUCCCAGACGCUGCCCCGGCCUGGCAAGGGAGGCGGUGGUCGGGAGGAUCACUUCUUGGUCUACGAGGAAUAUGGUGGCAACAUUUAUACAAGCAGCAGCGGAAAGAAGGACACAGGUUCUACUAAGACUUUGCAUUGUUGAAAGAAAGAGUACCCCCGCCUCUCCUCCACCUCCUCCUCUUCCUCCUCCUCCUCUUGUCCCUCCUUCUACGCCUCCUCUUACUUUCAUUCCUGUCCGCAUUUCCAUUUUCACACUUGGGGAUAUUCCUCGGCGAUUUUCUCUUCUCGUCGUCGCCGGCACUGCCCUGUUCACUCUCCUUAUUCCUCGUCUCCUCUCCCUUCGUCAUCUCCAUCUUCCUCCUCCUCCUCUUCCUCCUCCUCCCCGUCGCCUCCUCUCCUCCUCAUCUCCUCUCUAACUGAUAUCGAGGAUGAGCUAGUGUCGUGUGGUAUGACAUCUACUACUACUACUACCACUACUACUACUACUACUGAUGUUGAUAAUGAUUUGGACCUAACUAAUGUGACACCUGAGGAUGCUAAUACUGGAAAUGCACUUACUACCACUACUACUACUACUACUACUACUACUACUACCACUACUACUACUGCUGCUGUUGGUGAUCUGUGCAGUGGGUUCCUAGCGGAUGUGGAUUACUAUUUUGACGCAAACUUUGAUGUGUUGUAUACCACUGACCCCACACAUUACUAUCCUCCCUAUAUUGUCCCCCCUAACACACCAGAUAUACCAGACGGCUCCCCGACACACAGCACCCCCUCGCCCCCCGCCUCCCCCCUUCACACCCCUCACACCACUCCUAUAACCGAGACUACAACUACCUCUACCUCUACUGCUAGACUUCUUCAACCGCCAUCUCCAAUCACCACUUCCAUCUCCUCCACGGACAGUCCUCCAAUCUCCCCGAUCUCCCCCACCUCCCCAGUCUCCCUCACCUCCCCAAUUCCGGGAGAUUCAGACACCGACACCUCCGAUCUCAACACCGUCAUCACCACCACGAGGGUUGCAGACACACCGCCCCCGCCAGACUUACCCCACGACACCACCACCACCACCACCUCCACCACCACCUCCACAACGAGUACCACAGACUCCUUCCUCGCUCUCUACACCUCCACCACCUCCUCCACUCGGCAAAGGUUCUCACUACCACAACCAACACCAAUGCUCCUGCUUCUUCCACCUCUAACUUUGCUCCUUGCACCUCUGACCUUCCUUCCUCUCUCACUAACUCUACUCUCUCUGUUCCUGGUCAUCCUCUUCCUCCUCCUCGCUCCGCUAACUCCACUCUCAAUGCUCCUAACACCAAUUGCUUUCGUCCAAGUGGUGUUGAAACUCCUCCUACUCCGCUUAACUCUACUCCCCACAUCUCUGACUCUUCUCCUCCUGUUCCUCAUGCCUCUAACUCUACUCCCUCUAUCCCUCGCUCUUCUCUCUCUCCUCCUCGCAUUCCUCAUCGUCACCAUCAUACCACUAACACCUGUGACCUUGAUACUAACACUGCUUGUCAUACUCCCACUCCUCCUCCUCCUGCUGAUGCCACUAACACUACUUACACACGCACCGCUGUCUGCUCCUAACAUUGGUACUAACAGAGCUACUAACAGAGCCACCUCCGCUACUCAGACUAACAGUAAUGGGGGUUCAACUACUACUACUACUACUACUACUACUGAUACUACUACUACUACUACUACUACUACUACUACUACUGCUGCUACUACGGUCACCAAGCCCCAUUAAAUGCUAUAACUUGCUGUACACAUUAAAUACACAUACAUACACACACACACAUACAUACAUACAUACAUAUAUACACCCAGAUGAAUGACCACAUACACACACACACACACAAAUACGUACAUGCAUGCGGGGGGACUUAAACGCACAUGAAUGACUAAAAGUAUACAUAAGAAAGUAUACAUAAAGCCAGACUAACCCAGUAGUGUGUAUACAUGAUUUGGACUUGUAUACAUGUAGACCUCAUUUGGACUUCAUAUGUAUACCUGUGAGUGGUGUAGCAGUAUGUAUAUAUGUAUGUGUGUGUGUACGCAUAUAUACAUACACGAGAUAUACACACAUGACUGUAUGUAUGUGUGUAUAUGGCUAUGUGUGCGUAUUGGCAGUGUGUAUACAUGGGAGAGGAAUGUAUAUUAUGUAUAGUUCAUGUAUGAGUCGUGUAUCAUUCCACUGUGACCGAUUGGCGUGAUUUCAAGAGGAUUUCAAGAGGACUGGAGUACUCUUAAGCCAUUCCACACUUCAGUAUCAAGAGGAAGGAAGGAAUGUACUGUUUGCAUCAAGAGGAAAGAGGUAUGACUGUCCUACUCAAAUCAAGAGGAAGGAAUGACUCUACUACUCAUUGCAAGAGGAAAGAGGAAUGACUGUAUGUGAUUUUCAAGAGGAGAGAAGAAUGACUGUGUGUGUUUCAAGAGAAGGAAUGUUAAACCAAGAGGAGUCAUUGCAUUUAGACAUUCCACACUCAUUUCAAGAGGAAGGAAUGGCUUUCAAGAGUAGAGAGGAAAUUCUUUACUCAUAUCAAGAGGAGAGAGGAAUGAGUGUAUAUGGAUGUCUCAAGAGGAAGAGGAAGUGCGUCCAGACAUUCCAGAGUCAUUUCAAGAGGAUGGCAUGACCGUAUAUGACUUUCAAGAGGAAGGAGGGACUGUACUGCCCAAUUCAAGAGGAGGAAAAGGAAUGACCGUGACCAUUUCAAGAGGAUAGGUCACUUGCAUUCAUACAUUCCACACAGUCAUUUCAAGAGGAAGGAAUGAGUUAUGGCUUCAAGAGGAGGGAAGAGGAAUGAGCCAAGAAGGAAGGAAGGACAGCUGAUCAUGCCACUAAGGAAUAUAUGUUUGAAGAUGAAAGAGGAAUGAUCAAGAGGAAAGACAUACACACAUACAUACAGUCAUACCACUACAGAACUACACCAAGAGGAAUGACCAAUACAUGCAUUCCUCUUGCCCACAUGUCGUUCCAAUCAAGAGGAGACCAAGAGGAAUGACUGUAAAUUUAUACCAAAUCGUGACAAGCCCGUGUCAUACCACAAAACACAACCACAAGAAGAAGAAGAGGAGGAGGACGAUGAAGAAAGGUCGGAGUCUCAUUCCACAACUCAACAUGACGUGGAGAAGUGGAAUGAACGAAAUAGUGAAAUGGAAUGAAGAUAUAGACUCAAAAUGGACCCAAAAUUGAGGAAUGACUAAGAAGACAAUAAAAAAAAAGCUCAACUUCUCAUUCCACGACUUAACAUGAUGUGGAUUAGUGGAAUGAAUGAAAUAUUUGAAUGGAAUGAAGGAGGAGUCUCAAAAUGUACUCAGAAUCAUUCCACUUCAAAACACAACUGUCUAUUCGGGGACGAGAGGAAUAACUUUGACAAAAUGGUAUAGGAGAGAGGAGUUAGUCAUUCCAUUCUCAUUCCUCAACUGUCAACCAUUCGGGGACAAGAGGAAUAACUUCAACAAGAUGGUAUAGGAGAGAGGAGUUAGUCAUUCCAUUCUCAUUCCACAACUGUCAACUAUUCGGGGACAAAAGGAAUGAUAUAGGUGAAGCAUUUUAGAAGAGAGGAGUUGAUCAUUCUAUUCUCAUUCCACUUCAAAACCACAACCAUUAGCGGACGAGAGGAAUGACUUGGACAAAACAGUAUAGAGGAGUUGAUCAUUCUAGUCUCAUUCCACUUCAAAACCACAACCAUUAGCGGACGAGUGGAAUGACUUAUACAGAACCACAUAGGAGAGAGGAGUUGAUCUGUCCUAUUCUCAUUCCACGCCGAGGAAUGACAUUGACGAGACUCAUACAGGAGAAGAACCAGUCUAUUUCCCCUCAUUCCACGACGCAAAAUGGACAAGAGACAACGGAAUGAGCACUACUAUAAAAAAAAAUACAACUGAUACGGUGUCAUCAUUCCCCACAACCCCCAUUUGAACCACCCCCUAAGAAGAAAAAAAGGAAAUGAUGACCCCCCUCCCCCUCCACCCCUGACCUCCACCCUCCGCCCCCUUCCCCCAAAUAAAAAAAAGGAACUUACUAGGAUUGUUGUUAUAGCCAUUCCGCUCUCCUUUCAUUCCACCGAGUUUUUUGGAAUGGAGAUCGAGUGGACAUACGAACGAACUAACCACCACCUCACGACCCAUGCCACUGUUGCCAGAUAAUCAUUGCUAGACUCCCACGAUCCAGGUGUGUGCCAACAGGUGUGAAGGGACAGGUGUGUGUGAGAGAGAGGUGUUGAGUGGGACAGGUGACUUGAUGGUGAUGAUUUUGGUGUUGUUGUUGUUGUUGUCAUCGUCGUGUGUGCUGAAGACAAUCGUAAAAAAGAAAGAAAAUGGAUGAGAAAUGGAAGGAAAGGUAGAACAAAAGAAAGAAAAAGAAAGAUAGAAAGAGAGAAAAUAGAUAAGAAAUAGAAGGAAAGGUAAAACGAAAGAAAGAAAAAGAAAAUGGAUGAGAAAUGGAAGGAAAGAUAGAAUGAAAGAAAGAAAGAAAGAAAGCAAAUUAAGAAAAGAAGAAUGAAAAAAAAAUGAGAGGAAAAAAAAAAAGAAGGAAAAAACGAAAGAAAGAAAGCGAAUUAAGAAAAGAAAGAAAAGAAAAUUAAAUGAGAGAGAAAAACGGAGAUUAGAAAGAAAGAAAAUAACGAAAGCAGAAAUAACAAAGAGAUGGGAAUGAAAUAAAGUCACCUUGCCGGAGAAAACGAAAGGUCAAAAAAGGUCAAACCAGGUCAAGAAGAUGAAAUAAUAACAAGGUCAGGUCAGGUCAGGUUAGGUUCGUGCGAGGCUUGAGACCCCACGCUAACCUCAACCCCCUGACCCCUGUGUGACGACCUUGAAAGACAAUCCCAGCUGACCUUUGACCUGGAACCUGUUGGAAGCGCGGUCGUUGGGAGGAAUAAUAAUAAUAAUAAUAAAAAAAUAGAAUAAAAAAUAAAUAAAUAAAAUAACAUGUUGCAAUACAGGUAACAUUAGCAUCUAGGUUUUAUUUGUGUUGUCAAUAUUAUUAGCUGUUAAGUCUUAUUAGUAAAGUGAAGAGAGGGAGAGAGAGAGAGAAAGUGAGAUAGUGAGAGAGAGAGAAAAUGUGAGAAAGGGAGUUUUAGAGAGAGAUAUUGAGGUUGUCAGUACCACCACCACCACCACCACUACUUCUACUACUACUACUACUACUACUACUACUACUACUACUACUACUACUACUACUGCUACUACCAUCAAUGCCACUGUAUUAGGAAAUGUUAAGAUUGAGGAUAGAUUACAUUAGGGUCAGAGAGAGAGAGAGAGAGAGAGAGAGAGAGAGAGAGAGAGAAUUAUCUGAUUAUAUGUUGUUAAUCUUUGUGUGUGCGUGCGUUCCCUGUCAGUGGAAAAUAUCCCGGCCUGAAUGGGGCUCGAACCUCCGCCUGUCAGCGCAGAGCUUUAAACCACUGAGCUACGGAGCGGAGUGUGUGUGUGUAUGUGUGUGUGUGUGUGUGUGUGUGUGUGUGUGUGUGUGUGUGUGUGUGUGUGAUUUCUCCCAUGAUGAAGUAAAAUUAUAAAAAAAAUAAUUCAAAGGCACCAACCAUUAGAGGAUAUAUGUAAAAAGAUUAAAAAGUCCAACUAUUUAAUGCAAGAGGGCCAGUGAGUGAGUGUUCUUUGAGCGGGUUUAUAAAUGGAAGAUUUUGGUGGGUUUUAAGUGUGUGUGAAGUGAAACCCAACCCAGCAAUACAAGUGUUAAGUAAAAUGAAAGUGUAUGUUUUGUGAAUGAAAUCUUGGGUGGACGGAAAGAAGAAAGAGUGGAGAGAAUGAGAAAGAAAGGAAAGAGAAGAAAAUGGAAAGAAGAAAAAUGAGAGAAUGGGAGAAAAAAAUAAGAAAAAAACGAAGAAGAAAAGAUUGAAAGGAAGAAAAAUUGUCACUUCUGGGAAAAAAAUAAGAAAAAAACAAGAAAAGAGAAUGAAAGGAAAAAUUGUCACAUGGAGAAGAAAAAAAAAGAAAAAUCAAAGCAGAGAAGCGAUAGAAAGGAAGAAGAAAAGUUUGUUGAAAGUGGAAGGUGGCUGAAGUGGAGUGUUUUUCAUAGUGGAACAAAGUGGAAAGUGGCAGUUUGGUGUGGUGGUACAGAGGGGAGUGGAACCCAUUAUAUAUGUGUGAGUGGAGGAAAGAGAGAAAGAGAGAGAGAGAGAGAAAGAAAAAUAUGAAAAACGAGAAAGGAAAAAAAUAUAAAAUGUGAGAUAGUGAAAACACUGAGAGAUACGAGACAAUUAAAGAGAGUGAGACUAAUGAUUAAAGAGAGAGAAAGAGAGAAAGAGAGAGAGAGAAAGAAAGAAAAAUAUGAAAAACGAGAAAGGAAAAAAAUAUAUAAAAUGUGAGAUAGUGAAAACACUGAGAGAUACGAGACAAUUAAAGAGAGUGGGACUAAUGAUUAAAGAGAGAGAGAAAGAGAGAAAGAGAGAGAGAGAGAGAUAGAAAGCUUUAAAGAGAGAGUGAUAAUAGCGAGGAUGAGAAACUUUUUAUACCGUAAACUUAAAAAAAGAGAAAGACUUGAGAUUUACGAACUCCUAAUGUUGCCAUUGUUACUUGCCAAAGACGGGGACAGGUGCCUCGACCCACGCUACUACUACUACUACUACUACUACUACUACUACUACUACUACUACUAC